GACGAACGCUGGCGGCAUGCCUAAUACAUGCAAGUCGAGCGAACAGAUGGAGUGCUUGCACUUUUGACGUUAGCGGCGAACGGGUGAGUAACACGUAAGGAAUCUACCUAUAAGCGGGGGAUAACAUUCGGAAACGGGUGCUAAUACCGCAUAAUAUCUUCUUCCGCAUGGAAGAAGAUUGAAAGACGGCUCUGCUGUCACUUAUAGAUGACCUUGCGGUGCGUUAGUUAGUUGGUGGGGUAACGGCCUACCAAGACGAUGAUGCAUAGCCGACCUGAGAGGGUGAUCGGCCACAUUGGGACUGAGACACGGCCCAAACUCCUACGGGAGGCAGCAGUAGGGAAUCUUCCGCAAUGGGCGAAAGCCUGACGGAGCAAUGCCGCGUGAGUGAAGAAGGCCUUCGGGUCGUAAAACUCUGUUAUAAGAGAAGAACAAAUUGUAGAGUAACUGCUACAGUCUUGACGGUAUCUUAUCAGAAAGCCACGGCUAACUACGUGCCAGCCGCCGCCGUAA
rnacentral:rRNA from 1 species